CCGGCUUAUUCAACCCCUCCAGACCCUCCCAGUACGGCCCAGUUCAUCCCAGUACACCUCCAGGCCCUCCCAGUACCCCCCAGCAUCCUUCCCCAGCGUUCCUAAUGUCCUCCAGUAUGUCCCAGUCCAUUCUCGAAUCACUCCCAGUUUGUCCCAGUAUCCCCCAACCUCACUCCCAGUAUAGCCCAGUCCCCCCCAGUCCAAACCUCCGCCCUGGCCCUGCCCACUUCCUUGGCCACGCCCCCUCCAAGUCCCCCCUCCUCCAAUUUCCAGUUCCUCGUGGCUGCUCUGGGAAGGACCCUCUGGAAUUUCCCCUGCCCCCCCAGGGAUCAAAGGUCACGGAAUGGAGCGGGAAAGGCUCGGGGCACUGGUGAUACUGGGAGUUCUGUCUCUGGCCAGAGGGGACCCCCCCUGAUGCUGCCAAUCCCUUCCAUUACGACUGGUGUCACCUGCGCGUGGGUGGCCUCGUGGUGGCCGCGGUGCUGAGCGUGGUGGGGAUCAUCAUCCUGUUCAGUGAGUGACACCUGUCAUUGUCACCUGUGUCACUGUCACCUGUGUCACCUGUGUGUCAUUGUCACCUGUCAUUGUAUCCUGUUCAGUGAGUGCUACCCUUGUGUCACCUGUGUGUCACUGUCACCUGUCUGUGUCACCUGUGUCACUGUCACCUGUGUCACCUGUUCAGUGAGUGCCACCCCGUCAUUGUCACCUGUCUGUGUCACCUGUGUCACCUGUGUGUCAUUGUCACCUGUGUGUCACUUGUUCAGUGAGUGCCACCCCGUCAUUGUCCCCUGUGUCACCUGUGUCACACCUGUGUAUCACCUGUCAUUGUCACUUGUGUCACCUGUAUCACCUGUCAUUGUCACCUGUGCAGUGAGUGCCACACCUGUGUCACCUGUGUCACUGUCACCUGUGUCACCUCUGUGUCAUUGUCACCUGUGUCACCUGUGUCACUGUCACCUGUCACUGUCACCUGUUCAGUGAGUGCCACCCCAUCAUUGUCACCUGUGUCACCUGUUCAGUGAGUGCCACCCCUGUCAUUGUCACCUGUGUCACUAUCACCUGUGUCA